CCGAGUUUACAACUCCCAAACCCAUGUGAACCUUACCUAUCGUUGCUUCGGCGGGAUCGCCCCGGCGCUUCUGUGCCCGGAAUCAGGCGCCCGCCGGAGGCCCAAACUCUUGCUUUACCUAAGUAUUAUCUGAGUGGCGUAAGCAAAUGAAUUA
rnacentral:misc_RNA from 1 species